GUGCCCGUGGCUCAAUGGAUAGAGCAACAGAUUUCUAAUCUGUGGGUUGCAGGUUCGAGUCCUGCCGGGCACGCCA
rnacentral:tRNA from 1 species